GGGCACUAGCGACUCUAGCGGCCUUAUGAUGCACUAAAGCAUUUAUUCCUUUGUUCUUCGAGCAGCAAGAACAAAGUGACUGACUGACUGUCCUGCUUGCCAACUCAGCAUAGUUUUGUAUAACAGUUUCAUCCAUUGAAAAGUUAUAAUUCUGUGAUAUUCAUUAGGUCCUCUCAGCCCCCCAACAUGUGGUUGAAAAAAGCUGUCAAGGUUCUAAAGGUUUGAAACAGCCCAGGACUCCUUGGAUUGGCAGGCAUGAAGAGCAGAUGGUUCAACAACAUAUUAUAUCAUGUCCAAUGUACUGACCGUCUAAAGCACCAGAUACAGAAACACAAAGAAGAAGAAUUUUGUCCUACCGUCAGUGAAGUUGGUGCUAGCUGUUUGCAAGCUCCUUUUUUUACUCUUGUGAUGUCAAGUAAUGUGGAUUAAUAGCUGGACCCUGGAAAAUCGAAAAUCAUACUUCAGAUUAAAAAAAAUCACUUAUCCAUCCUACAAUGACAGCCCAAUUUUAGCACACCAGCAGGGUAAACCAUUGAUGCAGGGGACUUUAACACCUGAAGGCCCAGAUGCUGGCUCUUACCAACCUGCCAGAAGGCAACAACAAACCUGAACAACAAUUACAUUCGUUGUUGGGACCUUAAUGGUUGACGCAACUGCUACGUCUUCCACGGUGGAGGUUGCUACCACUGCCGUCACUCCGACUUUAUGGAAAUUGUUACGGCUUUUGCUGUUGUUGUUUCGAAACUCGCUGUUACUACAAUUGCUGGCACUGACAAUCAGGUAAUCGAGUACUUUUUCCUCCGACUACGUUCUACAAGCUCCCCACAAUUUAUUGAACGGAGGAAAUUUUCAUCAAGAUCGCUUGGAUUAUUGAACCUCCUGGCGCGUCUUUGUCCUCCAAAAUUAUCAGAAGUGGAAUGCCGGUUAGCAGCCUAUCAAUGCAGCUAUUGACUUUCCUGAGCUUGGAGAAUAAAAAUCGACGUGUAAUGGAGGCCGCUCGAUGAGCGAGAGGUUUCUGACUGGAAUGGUGGAGUUCCAGUGGUGAAGCCAGACAAGGAAACAAGAAUGCUUUGAGAGAAUGCUUCAAUUAUUAUAAUGUGAAUUUAACUAGCUUAAUUGUUGUUGUGCAUUGUAAGUGAGUGAAGUAAAAAGCACAAAGGAUAUUUAAUCUGGGAUUAAAGGAGAAGGCUAUAGACAGAAAAGUAGACUCACAUAAUGAAAAAAAUAUUGAAGAAAGAACACUAGUGUUUAGAUUUAUUGGGAUAGGUAAUCACGACACUCGGGUGCCAGAUUGAGCUUGUUAUUGUUAUACUUUCUUUCACGCGAGUUCUCUUAAAUGAAGUAAUUAGUCAAAUUGGUAAUGGUACUGUGUAAUAAAUAAACUUCAUAAAUUGAUGUAUA